GCCUGCAUAGCUCAGGGGUAGAGCGUGUCACUCGUAAUCAACUACAGAUUCCAUGACAAGGCCAUCGGUUCAAUUCCGAUUGUAGGCA